GUGGUUGUAGCUCAAUGGUAGAGCACCAGCCUGUGGAGCUGGGUGUUGCGGGUUCGAAUCCCGUCAGCCACC
rnacentral:tRNA from 1 species